rnacentral:lncRNA from 1 species
AUGGAAAAGAAAUGCAAAAAAGCAAAAUGGCUGUCUGGGGAGGCCUUACUAAUAGCUGAGAAAAGAAGAGAAGUGAAAAGCAAAGGAGAAAAGGAAAGAUAUAAGCAUCUGAAUGCAGAGUUCCAAAGAAUAGCAAGAAGAGAUCAGAAAGUCUUCUUCAGUGAUCAAUGCAAAGAAAUAGAGGAAAAAAACAGAAUGGGAACGACUAGAGAUCUCUUCAAGAAAAUUAGAGAUACCAAGGGAACAUUUCAUGCAAAGAUGGGCUUGAUAAAGGACAGAAAUGGUAUGGACCUAACAGAAGCAGAAGAUAUUAAGAAGAAGCGGCAAGAAUACACAGAAGAACUGUACAAAAAAGAUCUUCAUGACCCGGAUAAUCACAAUGGUGUGAUCACUCAUCUAGAGCCAGACAUCCUGGAAUGUGAAGUCAAGUGGGCCUUAGAAAGCAUCACUACGAACAAAGCUAGUGGAGGUGAUGGAAUUCCAGUGGAGCUAUUUCAACUCCUGAAAGAUGAUGCUGUGAAAGUGCUGCACUCAAUAUGCCAGCAAAUUUGGAAAACUCAGCAGUGGCCGCAGGACUGGAAAAGGUCGGUUUUCAUUCCAAUCCCAAAGAAAGGCAAUGCCAAAGAAUGCUCAAACUACCUCACAAUUGCACUCAUCUCACAUGCUAGUAAAGUAAUGCUCAAAAUUCUCCAAGCCAGGCUUCAGCAAUACAUGAACCGUGAACUUCCUGAUGUUCAAGCUGGUUUUAGAAAAGGCAGAGGAACCAGAGAUCAAAUUGCCAACAUCCACUGGAUCAUGGAAAAAGCAAGAGAGUUCCAGAAAAACAUCUAUUUCUGCUUUAUUGACUAUGCUAAAGCCUUUGACUGUGUGGAUCACAAUAAACUGUGGAAAAUUCUGAAAGAGAUGGGAAUACCAGACCACCUAACCUGCCUCUUGAGAAAUCUGUAUGCAGGUCAGGAAGAAACAGCUAGAACUGGGCAUGGAACAACAGACUGGUUCCAAAUAGGAAAAGGAAUGGAUCAAGGCUGUAUAUUGUCACCCUGCUUAUUUAACUUCUAUGCAGAGUACAUCAUGAGAAACGCUGGGCUGGAGGAAACACAAGCUGGAAUCAAGAUUUCCAGGAGAAAUAUCAAUAACCUCAGAUAUGCAGAUAACACCACCCUUAUGGCAGAAAGUGAAGAGGAACUAAAAAGCCUCUUGAUGAAAGUGAAAGAGGAGAGUGAAAUAGUUGGCUUAAAGGUCAACAUUCAGAAAACGAAGAUCAUGGCAUCUGGUCUCAUCACUUCAUGGGAAAUAGAUGGGGAAACAGUGGAAACAGUGUCAGACUUUAUUUUGGGGGGCUCCAAAAUCACUGCAGAUGGUGACUGCAUCCAUGAAAUUAUAAGAUGCUUACUCCUUGGAAGGAAAGUUAUGACCAACCUAAAUAGCAUAUUCAAAAGCAGAGACAUUACUUUGCCAACAAAGGUCCGUCUAGUCAAGGCUAUGGUUUUUCCUGUGGUCAUGUAUGGAUGUGAGAGUUGGACUGUGAAGAAACCCGAGCACCGAAGAAUUGAUGCUUUUGAACUGUGGUGUUGGAGAAGACUCUUGAGAAUCCCUUGGACUGCAAGGAGAUCCAACCAGUCCAUUUUGAGGGAGAUCAGCCCUGGGAUUUCUUUGGAAGGAAUGAUGCUAAAGCUGAAACUCCAGCACUUUUGCCACCUCAUGUGA